CCCUUCUUAGCUCAGCUGGAAGAGCGUCCGGGUAUGCUCACCCAACGAAGUUUGAUUGAAACGUAAAUUAAUAAGACUGCAGCUGUAAUGGUUGAAUUGAAACCGGAAGGUCCCUGGUUCGAUCCCGGGAGAAGGGA